rnacentral:rRNA from 1 species
ACUCAAAUGAAUUGACGGGGAUCCACACAAGCGGUGGAGCGUGUUGUUUAAUUCGAUAAUAAGCGAGGAACCUUACCAGGACUUGACAUCUUCGGAAUUCUGCAGAAAUGCGGAAGUGCCUUCGGGAACCGAAAGACAGGUGCUGCAUGGUUGUCGUCAGCUCGUGCUUUGAAGUGUUCGGUUAAGUCCGUUAACGAGCGCAACCCUCGUCGUAUGUUGUUUUUUCAUACGAGACUGCCGGUUUCAAAUCGGAGGAAGGUGGGGAUGACGUCAAAUCAGCAUGGCCCUUAUGUUCUGGGCGACAAACGCGCUACAAUGGCCGGUACAAUGCGUAGCCAAGCCGAAAGGCGGAGCCAAUCGCAUCAAAGCCGGUCUCAGUUCGGAUUGGGGUCUGAAACUCGACCCUAUGAAGUUGGAAUCGCUAGUAAACGCCGAUCAGCCACGCGGCGUUGAAUAUGUUCCUGGAUCUUGUACACACCGCCCGU